CAAGAUCUAGUUUAUAAAUGAACAUCUUACUUACAAUAAGAAGGAAGGAAAUCUUGA
rnacentral:tRNA from 1 species